ACGACAGCUACCUACGGCAGCCACAUAGUCCCCUGCACCCCCCGACGAAUCCCUCUUCAUCGUCCUCUCUCGCCCCUUCCUUGGAUUCCUUAAUCUCCCUCAAUAAUGACGAAUUCAUGGUUUGGCUCUACUUGCUCGUCGCCGAUUGCAGACGAAAAGGGCUAAGUUUGUUUUUGGUUUUCCCAAGGGCCUGAGAAGUCAUCAGAAACCCCUGUUUUCGACCCUAUACUUGAUACGAAGCAACAUCAUGAUGAGGAAAUUGCAUACAACAAAAAUCUAUAAAUCUCAACCUUCGCCACCUAUAUUGGCUUCUCAUUACCUGAAAAUAACUAACGCAACAACAACCGAAACCUUCUUGGAGCCAUCGGCCCAGGACUCUAGGCUAAGUAACAGGCAGUGUUUGUCCUCACUAGUGCUGCUAAAUGAAAGGAAUAGUGUAUCAGGUGCUCUGAAGUUAAAGAAUUGUCCCUUUAUUGAGGAUGAUUGAGAUUUAAAAAUUGUUUACUAGCGCGUACAACAUAGUUACUCUGUAUUUCUUUGUAUUCAAGAGUUUUUUUUGGUGAGAUGUGUAGCUACUCAAGGUGUACAAGUUAACUGAAUACUAUACAUAAUUUGUUCAUUUGCUAUAUUUGUUUGUUUUCUUAUAAGAGAUUUAUUUGUAUUAUUUGUUAAAUUACUUGCCAAUUUUGAUUCCUUGGCUGGUGAUGAUGCUAUACAUUUUCUCUUAUAUUUGUCAGUUGUAUUCUUAUGUGUGGAUAUAAGCUUAGCUGCCAAGUUUCUAUUUCAUAUCUUCUUGCAAUCUUUCAAUUAGAUGGGGUGCAUUCUUGUAUAUACUAUGCAUGCUUAUUGUCUCCAAAGUGAUACUUUAUGAUUAGUAACAAAAUGCACGUUUUCUUGGUUCAUGCAAUUGUGUGAGAUGCAUGUGCCCACACAGCAUGAUAAUAAUGGUUGUGACUUGCUGCUUACUAAUAACCACACUGAUAACAACAUUCUCCCUCUGAAAACUGGUAAGUAAAUAUUGUAUGGUAGUAACAGAUACAAGGAGCUAAAAUUGAUCAACUUACCAAGCAACACAUUAUUUAGUGGUAUGGUGAAGUUUCUAUGUGGGUUGUAGAUCACUCUCAAUGGGCUUUCCACUAAAAAACUUGGCUAGAUUUGGCAUCACCUUUCUCCUCCUCCCGACUGUGAAAGAAGUUGACCGAGGAGUACCAUGAACAACUGGAGAAGCGGAUCUCCGAGCCAUUCCUCGUCUUGUUGGUGUCCUUUUAACGCUUUUGUUCAUGGUUUUGACAUGAAGUGCAGCCUCAGGUUCCAUCAUUUGCCUCCAUUUCUCAAAGUCAUUUUCAACUCUCUUUUUUGAAUCUGUUGAUCCUUCAGUUUCGUGAACCUCACGUUCUUCCUCUACUUGUAGCUCUCUCGUUUCUCGUCUGAAGAGCUCUGCUUUAAUCUGAAUUUCUUUCUCGCUUGCCUUUAAAGCUUCAACCCACGCCUGAGCAGCUGCAACCUUCUUGUCUGCUAUCUCCUUCGCCCCAGCUGCAUUCCCUUUCAGGUACUCGUAUUCAAACUUGGAAAUAGUUAUCGUUGAGCUAGGCCGAGAGGCUGAAGCUCUAUUCCUUACUGUCUUCUCAAUAACAGAUUUCAGAUUCUUGAGCGCCAAUGCUUCUGAUGAUUUGACAGCUUUGAGAUCUUGUAACGCAGCUUGUAAUCUUUCCUCACACGAGUCUAUCUCUGUCUCUGAUUUCUGAAUUUCUGCCUUGACAACUGCAGUUUCUUCGCUGCUGAGCGACUUUUCUUUCUCGUGUGUAGCAGCUUCUGACUCGAGCUGUUCAAGCGUGAGCUUGAGAUUCGAUAUGAUAUCUUUUGCUUUGUCUUCAGCCGCAGAUGUUUCUUCCAGCUUGGUUUUAGCUUUCACCAGCUUUGAAUUGAGACUUUGAAUAAACAUCUCUGUUUCCUUUUCUUCCUUCUUUAAUCGAGCCGUUUGGUCCAUGACAUGCAUGAGCUCAUCCCGAACGACAUCCAUGGAAGCCAUAAACUGGAAGCUUCCUUCUUUAACUUGUUCCAAUUCCUUUUUUGUUGCGACCAACUCUUUCAGCACUGACUCUAACAACGAUGCAGAAUCAACUCCAUCAGCAGGUUCUUCCUGAUACAGUGUAAUUUCCUUAUUUUCUACUCCCUUUUUAAUUUCCUUAACUUGCUUGAGUUCACUCUCUAACAUACUGAUUUCUGACAUGGUGGCCAUCACUCUUGCUUCGAGUUCUUUUGCAUCUUCAGUUUCAUCAAUGAUGUUUUGCGUUUUCUUCUGAGAUACCUGUAUUGCAGAUGCGUAGAUUUGCGCCUGUUCUCUGGUUUGAGUUUCGAUUUCUUCAUACUCCUUAAUGGCUUCGAUUCGGGCCAACUCAACCAGCACGUGCUCUUCAUUGACCUCCUCAAUCUCCUUGCAAACAGCUCAGAUCUCGCUUCAGCAGUUACCAGCUCAGCGUUCUUUCUGCUCUCGGCUAAAAGGAAAAUGCAAACUGAGGAAUGUUUUUAUAUGCAUACCUCCUGAAAUGAUGUUUGGAAGUUGUUGAGUUUGGAGUUGCCUUCGCUAAUUCGCUGGCGGUAAGAAGUGACGGCCGCCUUGACCGAGCCAGGCCUGGUAUCGGCCUCGGCUGGCUUCUCGUGGUCCGCCAUUUCUGAUGCUCUCACAGUAUUAUUCCUGUUCAUAAGUUGAGAAUUUCUCCUAAGGUUAAAAGAAUGAAAACUGGGAUCAGAGAGGAUUGAAUGGCAUACCUUGGCUUGAAGAAAGAGAAGGUAUAGAGAUAAAGUGGAGGGUGAUUGGGUAGUUAUUGGUUUAUUUAUUUUAUUUUUUAUUUAGAAACACAACCACAUUCUUUCAAUUGAUAGGGUAGUUAUUGGUUGCAUCAACAGCCAUUGGAAUUUUCGGGCGUGGACCCCAAUUAACAUGGUGCUGUAAUGCAGACACGCACACAACAAAUAGAGAGAGAGAGAGUUUGGAUGCCAUAUGUUUGAUCACCUGUGUUUAUCGUUAAUAAGUGUUUUAAGUGUGAUUAGGGGAUCAUUUUGGUG